CAGCUAGUUGGCGGGGUAACGGCCCACCAAGGCGAAGAUCGGUAGCCGGCCUGAGAGGGCGCACGGCCACACUGGAACUGAAACACGGUCCAGACUCCUACGGGAGGCAGCAGUGGGGAAUCUUGGACAAUGGGCGCAAGCCUGAUCCAGCCAUGCCGCGUGAGUGACGAAGGCCUUAGGGUUGUAAAGCUCUUUUGGCGGGGACGAUAAUGACGGUACCCGCAGAAUAAGUCCCGGCUAACUUCGUGCCAGCAGCCGCGGUAAUACGAAGGGGACUAGCGUUGUUCGGAAUUACUGGGCGUAAAGCGCACGUAGGCGGAUUUGUAAGUCAGGGGUGAAAUCCCGGGGCUCAACCUCGGAACUGCCUUUGAUACUGCAAAGCUCGAGUCCGAUAGAGGUGGGUGGAAUUCCUAGUGUAGAGGUGAAAUUCGUAGAUAUUAGGAAGAACACCGGUGGCGAAGGCGGCCCACUGGAUCGGUACUGACGCUGAGGUGCG
rnacentral:rRNA from 1 species